rnacentral:tRNA from 1 species
UGGCAUGUAGCUCAGCGGCAGAGCAGACGGCUGUUAACCGUCCGGUCGUAGGUUCGAUCCCUACCGUGCCAG